rnacentral:rRNA from 1 species
CCCUUAGAUGUUCUGGGCCGCACGCGUGCUACACUGAGUGGAUCAGCGGGUCAGGUUGCGCGAAAGCGUUUCCUAAUCUUUAAAUCCGCUCGUGAUGGGGAUUGACGGUUGCAAUUUUCUGUCAUGAACGAGGAAUACCUUGUAAGCGCGGGUCAUCAUCCCGCGCUGAAUACGUCCCUGCCCUUUGUACACACCGCCCGUCGCUCCUACCGAUUGAGUGGUCCGGUGAGGCUUUGGGAUCUGAGCGGAAAGAGCGUUUCGCAGUUUCUGCUCGGAAAACUCAGUCGAACCUUAUCAUUUAGAGGAAGGAGAAGUCGUAACA